UCGGGAAUUUUGGGCAAUGGGCGAAAGCCUGACCCAGCAACGCCGCGUGAAGGAUGAAGUAUUUCGGUAUGUAAACUUCAUAAGAAUGGGACGAAUAAGUGGGGGAUAACACCCCCCAUGAUGACGGUACCAUUUGUAAGCUCCGGCUAACUCCGUGCCAGCAGCCGCGGUAAUACGGGGGGAGCAAGCGUUGUUCGGAUUUACUGGGCGUAAAGGGCGCGUAGGCGGCGUAACAAGUCACUUGUGAAAUCUCCGGGCUUAACUCGGAGCGGCCAAGUGAUACUGUUGUGCUAGAGUGCGGAAGGGGCUACUGGAAUUCUCGGUGUAGCGGUGAAAUGCGUAGAUAUCGAGAGGAACACCUGCGGCGAAGGCGGGUAGCUGGGCCGACACUGACGCUGAGGCGCGAAAGCCAGGGGAGCGAACGGGAUUAGAUACCCCGGUAGUCC
rnacentral:rRNA from 1 species